GGUCUGCUAGCUCAGUUGGUUAGAGCGUCGUACUAAUACAAAAUCUAUGGACGAUUUGUAUAACGUAAUGCGAAGGUCAUGAGUUCGACCCUCAUGUGGACCA